ensembl:processed_transcript
CUGAAUCAGAGUGAUGAAGCAGGAGAGUGGUGUUGCAGAUAGCAGCGAUCUCAGCAACAGUUCACAAGGUAAACAUCUGAAGUCAAGCAAUCUCACAUACAGUUCGUUCUGGGACACAUCAGAGGGUGAGCAAUCUCACAAACAGGUCAUCAGGUAAACAUCUGAUCUACAGUUGAACACCAGAAUAGCUUAAGGCCCCGUUUACACUAGUGCGUUUUAGUUUUAAAACGGCGUUCCAAUCCGGGCCUGCAUUCAUAGGAGAAGAAGAGUGAAAGGAGGAGAGAAGAUGAGGUAAACCAUCCAUCUUCAAUACCGGCCGAUGAGUGAGUGAAUGAGGUGGGUAUUUAAGAUGACUGGCAAUUGUGAGUGCAGGUGCAGGUAAUUAGUAUGCUGGUGAUUGUUCAUGGAUGUGGUGGGAGGUGGUUGAUGAGGGAGAGUGAUGAUUGGAGCUGCAGGAACAAGGCGAAGGUGUGACACAU